UACGGAGGGUGCAAGCGUUAUCCGGAUUUACUGGGUUUAAAGGGUGCGUAGGCGGGCCUUUAAGUCAGUGGUGAAAUCUCCCCGCUCAACGGGGAAACUGCCAUUGAUACUAUUGGUCUUGAAUUUAGUUGAGGUGGGCGGAAUGUGUCGUGUAGCGGUGAAAUGCUUAGAUAUGACACAGAACACCGAUUGCGAAGGCAGCUCGCUAAGCUAAUAUUGACGCUGAGGCACGAAAGCGUGGGGAUCAAACAGG
rnacentral:rRNA from 1 species